rnacentral:rRNA from 1 species
UACGGAGGAUGCAAGCGUUAUCCGGAUUCAUUGGGUUUAAAGGGUGCGUAGGCGGGCUAUUAAGUCAGCGGUGAAAUCCUGCAGCUUAACUGCAGAACUGCCGUUGAUACUGAUAGUCUUGAGUUUGGUUAAGGUAGGCGGAAUGUGUAGUGUAGCGGUGAAAUGCUUAGAUAUUACACAGAACACCAAUUGCGUAGGCAGCUUGCUGAGCCGACACUGACGCUGAGGCACGAAAGCGUGGGGAUCAAACA